UACUUGCAGUUACAUGCUUUGGGGGUGCCUCACCCUUUGCAGUGCUGCAGCAGUCAUCCUUCAUGCACUGUGCUGAGGACAUGGGGCUGUGUGGAGCCGAGUCCCAGCCUAUUGCAGAAGCAGCUUCCAGGAGAUGGAUAUGUUACAGCAGUUGUGGGUGGCUCUGAGCACUGCAGCAGAAGAAGGAUGCUCUGCUAAACCACGAAGGAGAGGUACAUCACAAGAGCACUUGACUGCUUUGGGGCUUCUGCCAAAAAGCGGCAAUUCAACUUUGGUCUUGUGGACACCGCCACCAAUUCCCAAGGGAGACUACAGGGCGGGGGAGAGUUCCAUCUGAAAUAAACAGCACACAGGAAAGGAUCUUGUCUUCAUGCCUUGGAGCACCUCCUGGACAACAGAUGGCUGCAGAACGCUGGCAGACAAGCAGCAUGACACUGUCCUGGUGCAGAUCAGCAUCUUCCAGUAAGUUUUAGGAACUUUUCUUAUUCCCGAUAACCCCAUCACUGUUCCUGUUCAGAGUGGAUAGAAGUGAAACCCACUUCAGUAUUUUAGUGCUCUUCCCUGUGCACAGAGGCUCCUGUACAGUCUAUUUUAGGUUCAGUGAUCAUAUUUUCCUCAAGAUCGGUACCCAAAACCUGCCUAUUUUUCAUUCUUCUUAAUUUACCUGCUGUCCCGCCCCCAUCAGCCACUCACUGGUGCUGACAGCUACUCCAUCAGAGUUAGCUGGGGAGUUUGUUGCUCUGAAAUACAUAAAGUUCUCCCAGUUCAUAUUUGCUCUAGACUCCUUUCCCUCACCUCCCCCUUGCCCUGUUGGUGCUUUAGAGUUUUAAGAAGGAAGAUGCAUCGUGAUGCAGAUGUGUUUAUUGAAACAGAUACAGAAAGAGGAAAAUACAGGAUGUGAAGCACUUUACCUCACAGCUGGAACCGUGCCCUGAGAGUGCUCCCAGCACUCUCAGCUAUUCGGGACAUGCUUCCCGAGUGAGGCAUGCCGGUAUUAACCAGGCUCCUGCUGAGCUCCUGGUUUUCCAGUCCAUCACCAGCUAUGCCUAGAGGAGGGAUCUUCUUCAAAAGGAAAGGUGUGCCCUCUCCCUGGGAUCAGCCCUGGUUUCCCAUGCACAGGAUGAGCUGUAGAGUCUGGGGCCACCAAGCAUUCCUUGCGGGAGAAGCAAGGCGGUCUGUGGGAGGAGGCAGGAUCUUCUGAAGGCAGAAGAGAAGAGAAGCAAGUUGUGCUUGGUCUGACCAGAGAAAUGCAGAGAUUGCUCCUGAGUGAAGGUGCAGAAACAAGCAGCUCUGCUGGUGAAUAGAUGUCAGAUAUCUCCGUGUCUGGCUUGGCCAUGAGCAUCACACGCUGUGAGGGGACCACGGGGCAGCGUCCUCGUGCCACAGCCAUGUGUCCACUCGGCUUGCUGCCACAAGAAGCAAUGAGCUGUUUCUUUGCUGUUUUACUGCUCUAAAUGAAGGCAGAAUCUUGAUAAUGUUUGUGAUGACUUGAAUAAAAACCUUGUACUCGUUCGUUAGUGACAUGGGUCUCACUGGCUUUGGAGGGUACUCUGUGUCUGCCCGGUUUUGCUGUGAUUUAUUCUGCUGUAUUUAAUAAAGGGAUUUUUCUUAUUGCCUUUGCA